UGAAGUGGCUGCUCUUUGUGUCUCUGACAAGGCUGGUAGUCAUGGCGCUAUUGGGCCCCCAGCGCCACUGAAGGUAGCCCAUGGUGUUCUGGUCCAGGUGGCGUGCUGUCAUCAGAGAACAGCUCGGUCGCAAACCUCGAGCUGGACCUUACCACCGUGGAGUGACAUUGCGAAACACCUUAAACCCAAUGAGCGGUCCCAGUAUAUCUCCUGCACCCAACUCCACCUGCAGAGACAAAUGCAUACAGCGGAGCCUCUAAAGAGAGUGAACCAGACAGCACUGCUGUGUCAGAGUUCGUCAAAGGAGCCUGAAGAAAGAGAAAAGCAGUGUGUGAUGAAUCGGGGAAUACUGCAGUGAUCCUGGCCCAGCCUCUCGUACUCCUCUCGGAUUUCUGCUGGAGUUCUCUUCCUCUCCACAACCUGCACACACCGCCGCCACCAUAAGAUGUGAUGAUACAUUAUGUUUUGGUCAACACCACUCAAAUGGGAGACAAAAAGACGAUGG